UACGUAGGGACCAAGCGUUGUUCGGAUUUACUGGGCGUAAAGGGCGCGUAGGCGGCGCGGUAAGUCACUUGUGAAAUCUCUGAGCUUAACUCAGAACGGCCAAGUGAUACUGCAGUGCUAGAGUGUGGAAGGGGCAAUCGGAAUUCUUGGUGUAGCGGUGAAAUGCGUAGAGAUCCGGAAGAACACCGGUGGCGAAGGCGGUCGACUGGGCCAGUACUGACGCUGAGGCGCGAAAGCGUGGGGAGCAAACAGG
rnacentral:rRNA from 1 species